CCUUGGUCACUAUCACUUCUUUCUUGUUGAAUAUGCAUUGAAAGCCAAGAUCACAAAGUUGUCCAACCGAGAUCAAGUUGAAGCCUAAUGAAGACACAUAGAGCACAUUGGUGAUUGCGUUGUCAAUUGAUAUAGCAAUCUUUCCUAGACCCUUGACAUUGCCUUUUGAAUUGUCACCAAAUGUAAUCUUCUCUUGAUUGUCUACAUCUUCAUCA
rnacentral:lncRNA from 1 species